UUAAGCGACUAAGCGUACACGGUGGAUGCCCUGGCAGUCAGAGGCGAUGAAGGACGUGCUAAUCUGCGAUAAGCGUCGGUAAGGUGAUAUGAACCGUUAUAACCGGCGAUUUCCGAAUGGGGAAACCCAGUGUGUUUCGUCACACUAUCAUUAACUGAAUCCAUAGGUUAAUGAGGCGAACCGGGGGAACUGAAACAUCUAAGUACCCCGAGGAAAAGAAAUCAACCGAGAUUCCCCCAGUAGCGGCGAGCGAACGGGGAGGAGCCCAGAGCCUGAAUCAGUGUGUGUGUUAGUGGAAGCGUCUGGAAAGGCGCGCGAUACAGGGUGACAGCCCCGUACACAAAAAUGCACAUGCUGUGAGCUCGAUGAGUAGGGCGGGACACGUGGUAUCCUGUCUGAAUAUGGGGGGACCAUCCUCCAAGGCUAAAUACUCCUGACUGACCGAUAGUGAACCAGUACCGUGAGGGAAAGGCGAAAAGAACCCCGGCGAGGGGAGUGAAAAAGAACCUGAAACCGUGUACGUACAAGCAGUGGGAGCACAGAGCAAUCUGUGUGACUGCGUACCUUUUGUAUAAUGGGUCAGCGACUUAUAUUCUGUAGCAAGGUUAACCGAAUAGGGGAGCCGAAGGGAAACCGAGUCUUAACUGGGCGUUAAGUUGCAGGGUAUAGACCCGAAACCCGGUGAUCUAGCCAUGGGCAGGUUGAAGGUUGGGUAACACUAACUGGAGGACCGAACCGACUAAUGUUGAAAAAUUAGCGGAUGACUUGUGGCUGGGGGUGAAAGGCCAAUCAAACCGGGAGAUAGCUGGUUCUCCCCGAAAGCUAUUUAGGUAGCGCCUCGUGAAUUCAUCUCCGGGGGUAGAGCGCUGUUUCGGCAAGGGGGUCAUCCCGACUACCAACCCGAUGCAAACUGCGAAUACCGGAGAAUGUUAUCACGGGAGACACACGGCGGGUGCUAACGUCCGUCGUGAAGAGGGAAACAACCCAGACCGCCAGCUAAGGUCCCAAAGUCAUGGUUAAGUGGGAAACGAUGUGGGAAGGCCCAGACAGCCAGGAUGUUGGCUUAGAAGCAGCCAUCAUUUAAAGAAAGCGUAAUAGCUCACUGGUCGAGUCGGCCUGCGCGGAAGAUGUAACGGGGCUAAACCAUGCACCGAAGCUGCGGCAGCGACACUGUGUGUUGUUGGGUAGGGGAGCGUUCUGUAAGCCUGUGAGGGUGUGCUGUGAGGCAUGCUGGAGGUAUCAGAAGUGCGAAUGCUGACAUAAGUAACGAUAAAGCGGGUGAAAAGCCCGCUCGCCGGAAGACCAAGGGUUCCUGUCCAACGUUAAUCGGGGCAGGGUGAGUCGACCCCUAAGGCGAGGCCGAAAGGCGUAGUCGAUGGGAAACAGGUUAAUAUUCCUGUACUUGGUGUUACUGCGAAGGGGGGACGGAGAAGGCUAUGUUGGCCGGGCGACGGUUGUCCCGGUUUAAGCGUGUAGGCUGGUUUUCCAGGCAAAUCCGGAAAAUCAAGGCUGAGGCGUGAUGACGAGGCACUACGGUGCUGAAGCAACAAAUGCCCUGCUUCCAGGAAAAGCCUCUAAGCAUCAGGUAACAUCAAAUCGUACCCCAAACCGACACAGGUGGUCAGGUAGAGAAUACCAAGGCGCUUGAGAGAACUCGGGUGAAGGAACUAGGCAAAAUGGUGCCGUAACUUCGGGAGAAGGCACGCUGAUAUGUAGGUGAAGUCCCUCGCGGAUGGAGCUGAAAUCAGUCGAAGAUACCAGCUGGCUGCAACUGUUUAUUAAAAACACAGCACUGUGCAAACACGAAAGUGGACGUAUACGGUGUGACGCCUGCCCGGUGCCGGAAGGUUAAUUGAUGGGGUCAGCGCAAGCGAAGCUCUUGAUCGAAGCCCCGGUAAACGGCGGCCGUAACUAUAACGGUCCUAAGGUAGCGAAAUUCCUUGUCGGGUAAGUUCCGACCUGCACGAAUGGCGUAAUGAUGGCCAGGCUGUCUCCACCCGAGACUCAGUGAAAUUGAACUCGCUGUGAAGAUGCAGUGUACCCGCGGCAAGACGGAAAGACCCCGUGAACCUUUACUAUAGCUUGACACUGAACAUUGAGCCUUGAUGUGUAGGAUAGGUGGGAGGCUUUGAAGUGUGGACGCCAGUCUGCAUGGAGCCGACCUUGAAAUACCACCCUUUAAUGUUUGAUGUUCUAACGUGGACCCGUGAUCCGGGUUGCGGACAGUGUCUGGUGGGUAGUUUGACUGGGGCGGUCUCCUCCUAAAGAGUAACGGAGGAGCACGAAGGUUGGCUAAUCCUGGUCGGACAUCAGGAGGUUAGUGCAAUGGCAUAAGCCAGCUUGACUGCGAGCGUGACGGCGCGAGCAGGUGCGAAAGCAGGUCAUAGUGAUCCGGUGGUUCUGAAUGGAAGGGCCAUCGCUCAACGGAUAAAAGGUACUCCGGGGAUAACAGGCUGAUACCGCCCAAGAGUUCAUAUCGACGGCGGUGUUUGGCACCUCGAUGUCGGCUCAUCACAUCCUGGGGCUGAAGUAGGUCCCAAGGGUAUGGCUGUUCGCCAUUUAAAGUGGUACGCGAGCUGGGUUUAGAACGUCGUGAGACAGUUCGGUCCCUAUCUGCCGUGGGCGCUGGAGAACUGAGGGGGGCUGCUCCUAGUACGAGAGGACCGGAGUGGACGCAUCACUGGUGUUCGGGUUGUCAUGCCAAUGGCACUGCCCGGUAGCUAAAUGCGGAAGAGAUAAGUGCUGAAAGCAUCUAAGCACGAAACUUGCCCCGAGAUGAGUUCUCCCUGACCCUUUAAGGGUCCUGAAGGAACGUUGAAGACGACGACGUUGAUAGGCCGGGUGUGUAAGCGCAGCGAUGCGUUGAGCUAACCGGUACUAAUGAACCGUGAGGCUUAACCUU
rnacentral:rRNA from 1 species